CACGUAGGGCGCAAGCGUUGUCCGGAAUUAUUGGGCGUAAAGAGUUCGUAGGCGGUUUGUCGCGUCUGCUGUGAAAACGCGAGGCUCAACCUCGCGCCUGCAGUGGGUACGGGCAGACUAGAGUGCGGUAGGGGAGAUUGGAAUUCCUGGUGUAGCGGUGGAAUGCGCAGAUAUCAGGAGGAACACCGGUGGCGAAGGCGGGUCUCUGGGCCGAUACUGACGCUGAGGAGCGAAAGCGUGGGGAGCAAACAGG
rnacentral:rRNA from 1 species